rnacentral:rRNA from 1 species
GAAAGUGCCUAAAGACGAGCUCGCGCCUGAUUGGCUAGUUGGUGGGGUAAAGGCCUACCAAGGCGACGAUCAGUAGCUGGUUUGAGAGAAUGAUCAGCCACACUGGAACUGAGACACGGUCCAGACUCCUGCGGGAGGCAGCAGUGGGGAAUUUUCCGCAAUGGGCGAAAGCCUGACGGAGCAAUACCGCGUGAGGGAUUAAGGCCUGUGGGUUGUAAACCUCUUUUCUCAAGGAAGAAUCAAUGACGGUACUUGAGGAAUAAGCAUCGGCUAACUCCGUGCCAGCAGCCGCGGUAAUACGGGGGAUGCAAGCGUUAUCCGGAAUUAUUGGGCGUAAAGCGUCUGUAGGUUGUUUAAUAAGUCUGUUGUUAAAGACUGGGGCUUAACCCCAGGAAAGCAAUAGAAACUGUUAGGCUAGAGUGUGGUAGAGGUAGAGGGAAUUCCUAGUGUAGCGGUGAAAUGCGUAGAUAUUAGGAAGAACACCGGUGGCGAAAGCGCUCUGCUGGGCCAUAACUGACACUCAGAGACGAAAGCUAGGGUAGCAAAUGGGAUUAGAUACCCCAGUAGUCCUAGCCGUAAACGAUGGAUACUAGAUGUUGCGUAACUCGAUUAUGCAGUGUUGUAGCUAACGCGUUAAGUAUCCCGCCUGGGGAGUACACUCGCAAGGGUGAAACUCAAAGGAAUUGACGGGGGCCCGCACAAGCGGUGGAGCAUGUGGUUUAAUUUGAUGCAACGCGAAGAACCUUACCAAGGCUUGACAUGUCACGAAUCUUUUUGAGAAGAAAGAGUGCCCUCGGGAACGUGAACACAGGUGGUGCAUGGCUGUCGUCAGCUCGUGUCGUGAGAUGUUGGGUUAAGUCCCGCAACGAGCGCAACCCUUGUCUUUAGUUACCAUCAUUUAGUUGGGGACUCUAGAGAGACUGCCGGUGACAAACCGGAGGAAGGUGAGGACGACGUCAAGUCAGCAUGCCCCUUAUGCCUUGGGCUACACACGUGCUACAAUGGCUAAGACAAAGAGCAGCAAGCUUGUGAAAGUUAGCAAAUCUCGUAAACUU